UAGGGCUCUCUCUCUCUCUCUCUCUUCUUGAACAGAGCGCAAAAAAUUAGGGCUUUAGGUUCUUCGACGGCUUUCGACGAGUCGGCGACCGGUGGCGAGGGAUUGAUUCCGUGCAACAGCGGUUUUUCUUGGAGAGAGGAACCCCUUCGGCGGACGCUGAGAAGAUCGUGGAGAAGAAGAGGAAUCUCAAGCCCGAGGACCCAUACGAGGAGGAUCGUCGUCCAAGAGUUUUAAAGGAAGAUUCCCUUGGAGGAAAUAGCAAAACAUUGAUGAUAGCUUGUGUGAGUCCUGCCGAAACAAAUGCUGAGGAGACAUUGAACACCCUUAAGUAUGCAAAUCGUGCUCGCAACAUUCAAAACAAAUCCGCGAUCAAUCGUGAUCCGAUGGCAGCUCAAAUGCAAAGGAUACGAAGCCAAGUAAAGCAGUUGCAAGCGGAGCUUCUACUAUAUCCUAGCGGACCAUAUGAAGAACUUCAAGUAGAAGACUAUAUUUAAGUUCUCUCACAGUCCUUACAAUCUGGUUUAGGUUUUGACUUGAAAUUGCUUUUACGGAUCCUCAAGCAUAAAGUUUCUUUGCUUGAAGCAAGCAAUGUGGAGUUACAAAGGGAGUUGCAAGAGCGUCAUAUCACUUGUGAGCAUUUGAUGUAGCGUGUUGUUGAUGCACGGGUACAUCUAACUGGUUUUCCUACGCCAGAGCAUUUAUUGCAGAGUUUUUGCAUAUGAAUCUUCUGAUUCAUGCUCCUUGGAUGUGGUAGGUCAAAAAAGACAAAUUGAUUAUGAAAAUUGAAUCAGCUCGAAGUGGCAAAUCGUGGGAUGAAAUUGAUUGUUAACUGACUUGGGGAAUUGGAUUCAGAGCACAUCCGAGGAGAUGGUUAGGAGAAAGUCAUUAGAAUGCUCCUCUGCUAUAAUCCACUCUAGCUUAGGAUAGGGAUACGUUAUUCAUUGUUAUGCUAAGUCUGAUCAAGAUAUUUCAUUGUUGAAACUGGUCAUCGAAAUGUUUUCUGGAUGAUGGAAAUGAGGGUGAAGGGACCCUAUUUAUACAAGAACUCUUCUGAUUA